rnacentral:rRNA from 1 species
AUGGGUUUCUCUAUCAAGAUGAACACUUCUAGACGGACACACCGCACCAAUGAAUUGAUAAAACAACAGUUUUGCUGCAACAAGUUUAAGAAACCCAAAGCUGAUGAUGGAGAAGCUGAGGCUCCUCCUUAUCUGGACCCUAUUCCAGAUCCAACAUCUGUUAACAGUGAUAAGGAGAUGGAAGAAGAACCUCCAAUAUUUGCUGAAGAGGAGGCUGGUACUAGUAAGAAGAAGAAGAAGCGCAAACGCGAGACAAUAAAGCAGACUGAAUGCAAGGCGAAAAUGUUGGUGAAGCUGAUAGAUGGGCGAUGGGAGGUGACGCACUUUGUUCAUGACCACAAUCAUCCACUCGUGAACAAACCUUCAUUGUCCAAAUACUUGAGAUCCCACCAAGGCAUCUCACCUGAUGAAAAGGAGUUUCUGUGCAUCUUGUAUAACUGCAACUUGACUACAGGACGAAUGAUGCAUGUCAUGGCAGAGUUCUAUGGAUCUGAGAUGAUGGUGCCGUUCGGACCAAAGGCAAUAACAAAUCUUUGUACAAGUUUCCGUAGAGAUGACACAAAGGAGGGUGAUCUGAUUGAGACAAUUGCGCACUUCAAGGAUAUACAAAAAACCGAUCCAGACUUCUUCUAUAAGGUGAAAUAUGAUGAAGAGGACAGAGUUGUCAACAUAUUUUGGGUGGACGGCUUAGCUCGAAAAGCUUAUGCGGAGGCGUACCACGAUUGCAUAUCGUUUGACACCACCUACAUGACCAACUUGUACAAUAUGCCGUUCGCGCCCUUCAUAGGAAUAAACCGACAUGGCCAAUCUUUCAUGCUGGGUUGCGCGUUUGUGAGGCAGGAGUUGGCAUCGAGCUUUGAUUGGGUCUUUGGAGCAUUUUUAGAGGCUGUGGAUGGCAAACCUCCUGACAACUUCAUCACCGAUCAGGAUGGUGCGAUGAGGCAGUCAAUACAGAGCAUCUUUCCAACCACCGUGCACCGUUGUUGUCGAUGGCACAUCAUGAAAAGGCUCAGGAAAAGGUUGGUUGGUUGCUGUGCCAGAAUCCAGGACUCUCUGAUGAUUUUAACAAGUGUGUUGACUUCAGCUUCACUAUAG